CCUACGUGAGGCAGCAGUGGGGAAUAUUGCACCAUGGGCGAAAGCCUGAUGCAGCAACGCCGCGUGAGCGAUGAAGGCCUUCGGGUCGUAAAGCUCUUUCCUCAAGGAAGAUAAUGACGGUACUUGAGGAUGAAGCCCCGGCUAACUACGUGCCAGCAGCCGCGGUAAUCCGUAGGGGGCUAGCUUUCUCCGGAAUUACGGGGCGUAAGGGGUGCGUAGGUGGUUUCUUAAGUCCUUGGGGAAAGGCUACGGCUCAACCGUAGUAAGCCUUUGACACUGGGGAACUUGAGUGCAGGUGAGGAGAGUGGAAUUCCUGGUGUAGCGGUGAAAUGCGUAGAUAUUAGGAAGAACACCAGUUGCGAAGGCGGCUCUCUGAACUGUAACUGACACUGAGGCACGAAAGUGUGGGUAGCAAACAGGAUUAGAUACCCCUGUAGUC
rnacentral:rRNA from 1 species